rnacentral:rRNA from 1 species
AUUGAACGCUGGCGGCAGGCCUAACACAUGCACGUCGAACGAGUGGCGGACGGGUGAGUAAUGUCUGGGAAACUGCCCGAUGGAGGGGGAUAACUACUGGAAACGGUAGCUAAUACCGCAUACCAUCGGAUGUGCCCAGAUGGGUUUAGCUAGUAGGUGGGGUAACGGCUCACCUAGGCGACGAUCCCUAGCUGGUCUGAGAGGAUGACCAGCCAGACUGGAACUGAGACACGGUCCAGAAUAAUACGGGAGGAAGCAGUGGGGAAUAUUGAACAAUGGGCGCAAGCCUGAUGCAGCCAGGCGGCGUGUAUGAAGAAGGCCUUCGGGUUGUAAAGUACUGUCAGCGAGGAGGCGUUACUCGCAGAAGAAGCAACGGCUAACUCCGUGACAGGAGCCGCGGUAAUUC